GCUUGCUUUGGCAACACAGAUACUAAAAUUGGAAUGAUACAGAGAUUAGCGUGGCCCCUGUGCAAGGAUGAUAUGCAAAUUUGUGAAGCAUUCCAUAUUUUU